GACGAACGCUGGCGGCGUGCCUAAUACAUGCAAGUCGAGCGAGUCUGCCUUGAAGAUCGGAGUGCUUGCACUCUGUGAAACAAGAUACAGGCUAGCGGCGGACGGGUGAGUAACACGUGGGUAACCUGCCCAAGAGAUCGGGAUAACACCUGGAAACAGAUGCUAAUACCGGAUAACAACAGAUGAUGCCUAUCAACUGUUUAAAAGAUGGUUCUGCUAUCACUCUUGGAUGGACCUGCGGUGCAUUAGCUAGUUGGUAGGGUAACGGCCUACCAAGGCGAUGAUGCAUAGCCGAGUUGAGAGACUGAUCGGCCACAUUGGGACUGAGACACGGCCCAAACUCCUACGGGAGGCAGCAGUAGGGAAUCUUCCACAAUGGACGCAAGUCUGAUGGAGCAACGCCGCGUGAGUGAAGAAGGGUUUCGGCUCGUAAAGCUCUGUUGUUGGUGAAGAAGGACAGGGGUAGUAACUGACCUUUGUUUGACGGUAAUCAAUUAGAAAGUCACGGCUAACUACGUG
rnacentral:rRNA from 1 species